GGCAGGGACAGCCCCUCUGAUGAGGAGGCCACUGGGCUGAGACCAAUGAAUGAGAUGGAGCCAGCCACGUGGUGAGCCAGAAGAGGGCAUCACAGGGCUUGAGUCUGGGGGAGCCUGGCUGCCCAGAGGUGGCAGAUGACAUGAAGAAAUAACCAUGUAAGGGCUGGCUGUGUAUGAGCCCUGACUUCCCACAGCUAUCCCCAAACACACUCGUUUACACUGAAGCACCAGGAGAUCAGAACCUUCUGGAAUCUUAAUAUGCGAGGACUCGGUGGAGAAGGCGGCACUGAAGAAGAGUCGUCCCUAGGCCAGGCUGGAGGGAAACUCAAGACGGCGGCCUGGCCCUCCUGGGUGGCGGAAGUGGGAGCAGCAGGAGCCCUGGCGGAUCCGGGAGGCCAGAAGAGCGGAAGCUUCCUCCCCUCUCAGGACAGCCACAAGGACUUUCGGGGGUCGUGGCAGCUGCUCCACUUCCAACUUCCAGAUCCCUCUCACUUUCCUCUUCCCACCAACUCCAACCUGGGACCAAGCAGGGGAAAGCAGCUGCAGCCCAGCUUGACGCCCCUGCAAAUGGAGACCUGUGCACCUGGUUGUGAGCAUUUUAAAGGGUGUCACACAGGGCAUACCCUUCGGUGCCUGGAUUCCUUUGGUUUACAUCCAGCAGGAGUUGGCCCUGAGCUCUGAGUCCAGAUCAUUGCUCUUGGCUGAAGCAGCCUGUCUACUCACAAAGAUGAGCAUGGUCCCUGCCACGAGGAAACUCGUGGUCCUGUGGACUGCGGUGUGGAGGGAAAGCUUGGGAUUCUGAGCCUGAUAAUGCACCAUUACAUCCCCACUCACUCGGGCUGUGUGAACCCAGCAAGUCACAGGAUCACUGGGUGGUGAAAGAAAGAAACACUCACAGAAGCGUCUGUGCUUGGAGAGCCAUCUGGUCCGUCAUUGUGACUGCUGCUCUCAUUGCUAUCAUGGGUGUCACCAUUGCCAUCACUCAAGGACUUCUCUCCAGGCCCCGAAGCCAAGCUGGUGCCUGGUUCCUCUGGGUUGGGAGAGGGGCUGGGCAUGGACAGGAGGAGGGAAAAGGGACCUGUGCUAGCAGGUGAUGCCAUCCAAGACAUCUGCAUCCUAAUCCCUGGAACCUGGGAUUCCACUAGGUGCCAUGGCAAAGAGGGAUUAAGGUGGCAGGUGGAGUGAAGGUUGCUAAUCAGCCGACCUUAAAGUAGGGAGAUGAUCCUGAAUGAGACAAAAGAGAGAACCAGUCAUGGUGUCAUGAGAAGGACUCAAAAUGCAACUGCUGACUUUGAAGAUUAAGGGGCUACAAACCAAGGAACGUGGUAGUCUCUGGAAAAGACAAGGAAUAGACGCUGCGUUGGGGCCACCAGAAGGAACCAGCCCUGUCAACACCCUAAUUUUAGCCCAGUGAGGCCUGUGCUGGACUUCUGACCUCCAGAACUGUAAACUAAUAAAUGUGUGUUGUUUCUGCCACUAGA
rnacentral:lncRNA from 1 species